GGGCGAUGCGUUCCGUGGCGCUGAAAUGCUUGACACGGUAGGGGUCACUGGUUCGAUCCCAGUAUCGCCCA
rnacentral:tRNA from 1 species